UAUGCUAAGGCUCUGACGGAGAAAGGAGACAGCAUGCAAGAACAGAUGGGCAAUGUAAGCAGAGAUGGAAAUCCUACAAAAGAUGCAAAAAGGAAAGCUAGAGAUAAAAAACACUAACAGAAAUGAAGAGUGCUUUUGAUGGGCUUACUGGUAGCCUGGACAUGGCUGAAAAAAAUCAUCUCUGAGCUAAAAACUCAUAAUAGUGCCAUUGAUUAAGACAGAGAACAUAGGAGGAGGACCAGAUUAGGUCUUGGAUACAUACAGCAACCAAAGGAAAAACUUGUUAAAGAUGAAAUGUUUUUCUUCAUGCUGAGAAGGAACCGUGGAGGGUUUGCCCUGUCGACAGAGGAGUGUGAAGGACCUGGGAGCAAAAACAAGAUGGAGAAAAGCUGGGCUAAUGAGAAAAGACGCAGCUUCAGUGGUAGUUACUAUUUUCCAUGCAAGUUUAUUCAGACUACAGAAUAAAGCACAUGAAGAAGCUAUGCAGAGAAAUGUGGGAGAGGUGGCAUGAACUAAGAUGGCAUGAACUUCCCAAAGUAUUAAUUAUUGAUCAAUUUUAAAAUGUCUCGGAGGCUAAGCAAGCAGAGAAACCAGAAGACUCUAACGGAUAACAGCUUCAGAGGUGUUCAGAGGUCGGCUCUCCAGAACAUCAGCACUGCUCCCGGCAUGGUUGAUGAGGUUCUUGUUUUGUGAGCACAUACCAAAUUCCUCCAGGAUUUCUGGAGUUCGUUCUACUUCUCAAAGUCGGGGAUGCGGAGCUCACUCCAAACAGCACUCAAACUACAGGCCAUCAUGUCCUUGAUGUCUUGGUGUGUUUCUGAUCCUAUGUAUGUCUACAAAUGAAAAGGAACAAAGGGAACUCAUCUGCCAAGAAGCAGAAGAGCUGGACACUUUUUCCAUUUAGAGACAAGCGGUACACACUCCUGAGGGUAGUGUACUGACACCUGCUGCAGGAUAGGGAAGAGAACUGCUGGGCUAAGUACAGUUCCCAGCAUAGGGAUGCUCACCGCCAUUUCUGCACUGUUUGUUGCUUUGCACCAGUAUCGGGGGUAAACCUAUAAAUAUUACUUGCACUGUAGGGGAUCAUAAUCAUACUGUUAAGCUGCACACUGAGAACUUUAGGUUCAUUUUAGCAGGGAAAACAAUAUAUAAGGUAUUUUAUUCUUUAACACAAGAUUCAAAAGAUGAAAUUAAACUACAUGAAAGCUAUAGCUGGCAUGACACCCCAAAAUAUGGAGCACUAGAAGUUGAGAGGGGUAACCAAGAGAGUGGAUGACAAACAGAAAACAAAAGGAUGUUGGCAAACUGGACUUAUGGAUUCUAUCUAUCAAAUUGAGGUUUAAUAAGGAUGAUAAGUAAGAGGAAUUCAUUUGCAUUUGAAAACUGCUUCCACAAGUAUAUGUUGGAGGCUAUGUGGUUUAGCAACAAUACAGGAAAAAAAGCUUUAAGGUUUUAGCUUAUUUUACAGUCAAUAUGAUGUGAUGACACAAGAAUAGUUAGUCUUGAAUUCUAUUUAUAAAACACAAUAGUAUCUGGCAAAAUAGAUAUGUGUUCUGCUCUAGUGAAACCACACCACCACCUGAUUAUUGCACUCAUUUCUCGGGAACACUUGAAGAGGACCUGUUUUAAUUAGGAUACAAUCUAGGCUGCUGAUACAAUGAGAUCUAUUGACUCAGUUGCUUAAAGAACAAAGAAGCUUGCUUCUCUCCUAUGUAACAGUCCCAGGUGAUUGAUGGCUUCCCCAGGUAUAGAUUCCUCGACAGAACGUGAUUCUCUUCCUCAGAAUUUUGAAGGCAUUUGUCCGCCGUGUUACUAUGAUCCAGUGUUGCUGUUGAGGUGGGUCGGGCUCUUUAUUUGUGAAGAAAUGUCCUCUGAAUUUCAUGCAGAGGUCAUAGGAGCUCUAGGGGAUUGUCAGGUUUCUUUUGUGUUUAUCACCUUGACUAAUCUGCACUUUUCCCUGCACUUGUACUUGUCACUAACUGCUAGCUUGUCACAGGGCUCGGUCCAUGAACCCCUUCUCUUUCUUCAGCUUUAUUUACAAUGAAAAUACGGACUGCUACUCAUAGUGAUGUGAGUUUGAGUGAAAUAACAAGCACACCCCGUGGAACUAUUUGCUUGAUAAAUAGUAUCUGGACAAUCACAAAAAUCUCACAGGAAUUUUCUUUCCCUAAUGCCCACUAGUUUCCUUCAUAAGAACUUUAAUAACAAAAUAAAUAACCAACAGUGACUAUUUUCAAAGAGAAUUUUUAGUGGGGAUAUAUUAAUAGUACUAAAAUACUACUAUUUAUAGUCUUACACAGAGUAAAUAGCAGAUCCCCCAAAAAGGAUGCUUGGUGAGGGAAUAUUGGAUUAAAAAGGGGAAACGUCUAUCUUCUUUUCUUCUCCAAAUUCCCUGAUAUGACAAAAAAAAAAACUUUUGACGGGAUAAAAGAGGAAUAAACUUAUAAUGUCACUGGAAGACAGAAGGGGGAAUAUCAAUUCUUGGAGGAGAGAAAUCAGGUGGAAAUUGGAAUUACAACGGCAUUUAAAAACCUUAAGAGAUUCUUAUAAUUAACUUUAUGCCAAUAAGGUUGAAAAUAUCAAUAAUUUUUAGAAACAUAAAUUAUUAAAAAUUCAUACAAGAAGAAACAGUAAACCUGAAUAAAUCAGAUACUUUAAAGAAAUUGAAUCAGGUAUCAGUAACUCCCUCACCCACUAAUUGUUUCAUUUCUGGCUUCUUUUGCUUAACAUUAAGUUUGUAAAAUUUGUCCAUGUUGCCUGUAGCAGUAACUUGUUAUUUUCAUUGACAUAGAGUAUCCAUUUUAUGAAUAUACCAAAACUUCUUUGUCCAUUAUGCUACUGAGGGCACUUCCAGCUUGGGACUAUUAUAAGUAUCCCUGAAUGAACAUUUUUGUACCAGAAUCCAACAUCUUAAAAGACAUAUGUAUGCAUUUCUGCUAGAUAGAUAUCCAGCAGUGGGAAUGCUCAUUCCAGCAGUAGAAUUAGAGUAUGCAUAUAUUCAAUUUUAGUAGAUGUUGCUUAAUAGUUUUCUAAAGGAGUAUACCAAUUUAUAUUUUUACUAGUAAUGUAUGAGAUUCCAGUUGCUGCACAUCUUUACCAACACUUGGUGCUGUUGGUUUUUAAAAUUUUAGCCAUUCUGGAGAGUUUGUAGUCCCAUCUUAUCAUGACUUUAAUUUGCAUUUACUUCACAAUGUUGAGCCCAUUUUCACGUAUUUAUUGACCAUGGGCAUCCUCUUCAAUGAAAUGCCUGCUCAAAAUUUUUGUCCAUUGUUUUCAGGAAGGAAGGGUGAGUAAUAGCUAUCUUUUCUUUCUGACUUACAAGAGUUAUUACAUAUACAUAUAAUAUCUGAUAGCCAGGCAUAUCAGAUAUAUUUAUUACAAAUAUUACCCUCUGAGGCUUGCUUUUUCACUCUCAUCUCUUUUGAUAAAGUUCUUAAUUUUAAUAAGUCCAAUUUAUGAAUAUCUUCUUUGUGAGUAAUGCUUUUGUUAUCCCAUGAAAGAUAUCUUUGCAUAUUCCCGUGUUACAUUCCUAUGUUAUCUUCACAUAUAAGUCCACAAUCAACUUGGAAUUGGUUUAAUGAAUAGUGCAAAGUAGAAAUCAAUAUUUAUUUUUUCCAGUUAAAUAUCCAAUUAACUUAGUAUUAUUUAUUGAAAAGACUAUACUUUUUCAGUAGUAAUCUUGCAUGCUAGGUACUUAGCUUGGGGCUUUGCUGGCAUUAUCUUACUUAAUCUCUGCAAAUAUAAAAAUGUAUUUUUAUUCCUACUUUAUAAAAAGGAAAUUGAGGCUCAAUGAGAAUAAAUAAAUUUUCCAAAAUCACAAAGAUAGUGCAACUCAAAUCUAGCUCUGUUUGACUCUAGAACCCAUGCUCUUUACUAAACCAAGCUGAGGUUAAACAAAAGAAAAAUCAGAUUUUCUUAUUAGUGAAGACCUGAUUGUCCAUUAAGUAAGCCCUGCAAAAGGCGGUUAUAGGAAGGAAGAGUUUAGUUACGUGUUUAUGGUUUGUUAGGUGAGGAUUUUAUUUGGGGUGUGUAUUUUCUCUGUCUCUGGAGUUCUUGAUAUACUCUCAAAUAAAAACAUUUCCCGUUUACUACUGAGUGGGCAAUCAUCCAAUAAUCAAGCAAUAUAAACAAAUUCCAACAUUUUUCUAUUCAAUGUGGAGUUAGAUUCCGUGUGUCUGUGGCUGACCUGCGCAGUGGUCUAGGAAAUAGUGCCAGUUAAGGCCAGGUCACAGGUUAGAUCUGCAUUUCCUAAAUGUGUUUUACAGAGCAUACCAGUUUUAUGUGAUAUUGACAGAUAUUGUUCAGGAACAAAAGAGUAAGUGUCUAGGGGUAG